CGAAUCAGGUAGGAAUACCCGCUGAACUUAAGCAUAUCAAUAAACGGAGGAAAAGAAACCAACCGGGAUUACCUCAGUAACGGCGAGUGAAGCGGUAACAGCUCAAAUUUGAAAUCUGGCUCCUUUGGAGUCCGAGUUGUAAUUUGUAGAAGAUGCUUUGGGUUAUGGGUUCGGCCUAAGUUCCUUGGAACAGGACGUCAUAGAGGGUGAGAAUCCCGUAUGUGGCCGAGGCCCGCGCCUGUGUAAAGCUCUUUCAACGAGUCGAGUUGUUUGGGAAUGCAGCUCAAAAUGGGUGGUAAAUUUCAUCUAAAGCUAAAUAUGGGCCAGAGACCGAUAGCGCACAAGUAGAGUGAUCGAAAGAUGAAAAGCACUUUGGAAAGAGAGUUAAACAGUACGUGAAAUUGUUGAAAGGGAAGCGCUUGCACCCAGACUUGGGCGCUGCUGAUCACCUUGCGUUCUCCGCGAGUGCACUCGACAGCGCACAGGCCAGCAUCGGUUCGGGUGGCUGGAUAAAGGCCGUA
rnacentral:rRNA from 1 species